rnacentral:rRNA from 1 species
GCUGCGAUACUGAAAAUAAAUUUCCACAUCUAGCAAUCAUCGUUUAUGGUAUGGACUACGAGGGUAUCUAAUCCUCUUUGCUACCCAUACUUUCGCGCCUCAGCGUCAGUGUUGAUCCAGAAAGCCGCCUUCGCAACUGGUGUUCUACAUAAUAUCUACGAAUUUCACCUCUACACUAUGUAUUCCGCUUUCCUCUAUCAAACUCUAGUCGAGCAGUUUUAAUUGCAGUUCCAAAGUUAAGCUUUGGGAUUUCACAAUUAACUAACUCAACGGCCUACGCGCGCUUUACGCCCAGUAAUUCCGAACUACGCUAGGUCCCUUCGUAUUACCGCGGCUGCUGGCACGAAGUUAGCCGGACCUUAUUCUUAGGGUACAGUCAUUAUCUUCCCCUACAAAAGAGCUUUACAACCCAAAGGCCUUCUUCACUCACGCGGCAUCGCUGCAUCAGAGUUUCCUCCAUUGUGCAAGAUUCCCCACUGCUGCCUCCCGUA